rnacentral:rRNA from 1 species
GACAGAGGGUGCAAACGUUGUUCGGAAUUACUGGGCGUAAAGCGAGUGUAGGCGGUUUGGUAAGUCGGAUGUGAAAGCCCCGGGCUCAACCCGGGAAGUGCACUCGAUACUGCCAGGCUAGAGUAUCGGAGAGGUUGGUGGAAUUCUCGGUGUAGAGGUGAAAAUUCGUAGAUAUCGAGAGGAACACCGGUGGCGAAGGCGGCCAACUGGACGAAUACUGACGCUGAGACUCGAAAGCGUGGGGAGCAAACAGG